GACGAACGCUGGCGGCGUGCCUAAUACAUGCAAGUCGAGCGGGGAUUAUGCUUGAUCGCUUCGGUGAGACGGCAUAUAUCCUAGCGGCGGACGGGUGAGUAACGCGUGGGUAAUCUACCUCGUAGUUCGGGAUAACAGGCCGAAAGGCUUGCUAAUACCGGAUGAGUUCAUGCUUAUGCAUAUAGGCAUGAAGAAAGGGCUAGCCCGCUAUGAGAUGAGCCCGCGUCCCAUUAGCUUGUUGGUGGGGUAACGGCCUACCAAGGCAACGAUGGGUAGCCGGCCUGAGAGGGUGUACGGCCACACUGGGACUGAGACACGGCCCAGACUCCUACGGGGGGCAGCAGUAGGGAAUUUUCGGCAAUGGGCGAAAGCCUGACCGAGCGACGCCGCGUGAGGGACGAAGGCCUUCGGUUGUAACUACUGUCUGGGGAGUGAGAACGGACGGUACCCCGGACGGAACGGCCCGGCGUAACUACGUACGCCAGCAGCCGCGGUAAAAGUAACGUACUAU
rnacentral:rRNA from 1 species